rnacentral:rRNA from 1 species
GCCGAGCGGUAGAGAUUCUUCGGGAUCUUGAGAGCGGCGUACGGGUGCGGAACACGUGUGCAACCUGCCUUUAUCAGGGGGAUAGCCUUUCGAAAGGAAGAUUAAUACCCCAUAAUAUAUUGAGUGGCAUCACUUAAUAUUGAAAACUCCGGUGGAUAGAGAUGGGCACGCGCAAGAUUAGAUAGUUGGUGAGGUAACGGCUCACCAAGUCUGCGAUCUUUAGGGGGCCUGAGAGGGUGAUCCCCCACACUGGUACUGAGACACGGACCAGACUCCUACGGGAGGCAGCAGUGAGGAAUAUUGGACAAUGGGUGCGAGCCUGAUCCAGCCAUCCCGCGUGAAGGACGACGGCCCUAUGGGUUGUAAACUUCUUUUGUAUAGGGAUAAACCUACUCUCGUGAGAGUAGCUGAAGGUACUAUACGAAUAAGCACCGGCUAACUCCGUGCCAGCAGCCGCGGUAAUACGGAGGGUGCAAGCGUUAUCCGGAUUUAUUGGGUUUAAAGGGUCCGUAGGCGGAUCUGUAAGUCAGUGGUGAAAUCUCACAGCUUAACUGUGAAACUGCCAUUGAUACUGCAGGUCUUGAGUGUUGUUGAAGUAGCUGGAAUAAGUAGUGUAGCGGUGAAAUGCAUAGAUAUUACUUAGAACACCAAUUGCGAAGGCAGGUUACUAAGCAACAACUGACGCUGAUGGACGAAAGCGUGGGGAGCGAACAGGAUUAGAUACCCUGGUAGUCCACGCCGUAACGAUGCUAACUCGUUUUUGGGCUUUCGGGUUCAGAGACUAAGCGAAAGUGAUAAGUUAGCCACCUGGGGAGUACGAACGCAAGUUUGAAACUCAAAGGAAUUGACGGGGGCCCGCACAAGCGGUGGAUUAUGUGGUUUAAUUCGAUGAUACGCGAGGAACCUUACCAAGGCUUAAAUGGGAAAUGACAGGCUUAGAAAUAGGCUUUUCUUCGGACAUUUUUCAAGGUGCUGUAUGGUUGUCGUCAGCUCGUGCCGUGAGGUGUUAGGUUAAGUCCUGCAACGAGCGCAACCCCUGUCACUAGUUGCCAUCAUUAAGUUGGGGACUCUAGUGAGACUGCCUACGCAAGUAGAGAGGAAGGUGGGGAUGAUGUCAAAUCAUCACGGCCCUUACGCCUUGGGCCACACACGUAAUACAAUGGCCGGUACAGAGGGCAGCUACACUGCGAAGUGAUGCAAAUCUCGAAAGCCGGUCUCAGUUCGGAUUGGAGUCUGCAACUCGACUCUAUGAAGCUGGAAUCGCUAGUAAUCGCGCAUCAGCCAUGGCGCGGUGAAUACGUUCCCGGGCCUUGUACACACCGCCCGUCAAGCCAUGGAAGUCUGGGGUACCUGAAGUCGG